rnacentral:rRNA from 1 species
CACGUAGGGGGCAAGCGUUGUCCGGAUUUAUUGGGCGUAAAGAGCUCGUAGGCGGUUCGGUAAGUUGGGUGUGAAACCUCCAGGCUCAACCUGGAGACGCCACCCGAUACUGCUGUGACUCGAGUCCGGUAGGGGAGUGUGGAAUUCCCGGUGUAGCGGUGAAAUGCGCAGAUAUCGGGAGGAACACCAAUGGCGAAGGCAGCACUCUGGGCCGGUACUGACGCUGAGGAGCGAAAGCGUGGGGAGCGAACAGG